rnacentral:lncRNA from 1 species
CCAAUUUUCGAGCCAAUUUUCAUCUACUGAACUGAAUUGGCUUUGUCUCUUCAUCCUAGGGGUUACUUGCCAUGGCUGGUUCGUGGAAUACAUAAACAAUGAUGGUGAGGAGGACAUUUAACACAAUAGCAAACCUAAUACACAACAAUCUUAUUCAUACAUUCUAUAGAACACAAUUCCAAAGCUCAGAAGCUCAGAUUUACUCCAUCUCACGCAAAAUACGAAGUAGCAUCAUCUCAGAGGCUUCAAUCUGCAGUGUAUAUAUGUGUUAAACGUCCUUUGGAAGUCAAAAACAAUGAUAGAUAAACUGAACAUAAUCUGUAAACCAUGAGGAAGAAGAUAUCUAAUGACGUAAUGAUAGUUACCGGUGUCACUAUUAUGGAAUAAACAACCAAUAUACUUGAUAAAAUAACCCAACUUACAUGAUAAGAACAUAUGCAAAUAGCUUAUAUCUCAUUAGGUUGGCUGUAUCCAGGAGAUCACUAUCUUUAGAAAAAUCCUAAUGAAAAAAAUUGGGACAAAAGCUUCAAACUUCGGUAGGGAGAAUAGUUGCCUCCGUCGUUUCGUCCUUCUGACUUUCAAGGUAGAUUAAAGUAGCUUGUGGUAUGAUUUGGUGGAGGACAACUAAGCAGAAGCCGACGGCCGCCGACUGUGGUGGAGAGUAACGCCAUCGUGGGUUAGAAACAGGGGGAAAUUUUCUGACUCGCUAGUUUUUGUUUUUUGCUGUUAACCUAGUUUUGGAUUUUCAUCCGUUAAAUUGGUAUAUUAAAAAGUGGGCUGAAAUUAAGAUUCAAUAACUCCGUUCUACAUGUCUGACGUGGACAUAUGUUGAAUUCAUCGCCGUUAUGUCUGUUUUACGAGUCUAUUAUGACUUUGUUAUAUGAGUUUAUAAUGUCAUUAUUAAGUCCUUUUUAGACAGAUUAUGACAUUGUUAUGUCAAUAAAGACUUAUUCAUUACAUUAAUCAUGUUAACUUUAUGAAUCAAUUAUGCCAUUGUUAUCUCUAUUUUAUGAAUAAGUUAUGUAGCUUUUAUGUCCAAUUGAUGUCAAGAACGAAGUGAGCUUAAAAUCAUCAAAGGUAUACACAUGGUGACACGUACUUUACUGAUCCCCUGUACUGAUCUAAAAAGGUUAAAUCAUUACAAUCAUUUUCUAAAAAACAACAACGACUAGUUGUAUAUCACAACUGUUAUAACUAUUUUAUAAGUAUUAUGUGAGUAAUAUGUCAACUUUAUGAGAAUACAAUAAUUUUUACAUCAUAUGAAUAUAAUAUAUAAAUACAAAACACCUUUAUGAGUCUAUUGUUAUAUUUAUGUUAUGUCUAUUUUAAAAAUCGAUUAUACAGUCAAAAGCAAUAAAAGUUGAAUAAAUUUGGACCGUCGAUAGCUCAUUAAAGUUCCCAAAUCUUGGUAAUACCUAGACAAAAUAGGUCUGGAUAUAAAACAACAUCAGAUCUAAAAAAUAAACACAAAUCUAAAUACAAUAUGGUUGAAAAUGAGAUUUACCUAGUAAAAGCCUCCGCCAAUGCCGUCUUUGUUACCGUGAACACCGCCU